CCAGGAUGUCCCAUUCCUGAGUAUAAGAGCAAAGUGUUGAACUAUCAAAGAAUUAUAUUAUAUUGGGAUGCUUCUACUGUGAAUGAUUACGAGGAACACGUGUCUGAUUAGCUAUAUUCAAUAACCGAUUUAAAGCCGAAUUAAAACCAAGCCCGGUUUGUGAUAAGGACCCGACUUGACGCUAGACGAUGAAAGGACACGCAACUUUUAUAUACUUUGCGAUAAUUCUUCUACUGAUCAUAGACUCUUCCAGAUCAGUAGAACACUACAGUUUGAGUUAUAAUUACUUCGAUGAGAUAGCUCAGUCUUACUGUGCUUCGAGAUAUUCUGAAUGGGUGUUUGCAAUUAGGAGAGAUUGUGCUAAUGCACCGACAUGUCAGGAUAUGUGUGCAGCUGCUAAAAACUAUUCUAGAAAUUAUCAAUAAUCAACGGAAGAGGUUAGAAAUAUAAUAUUAUAAAAUUCUGUUUUGAAGUUACCUGCAAUUCGAAAAUGCGGUAAAAUGCAGAUAAACAUUUUUUUUUUCAAAUUUUUUAUGACGAUGAUGAUGACUAAUGAUAUCGAUGGCUGACAUUAUAGAAAUGACAAUUGCAAUGAUGAUGAUGAUGAUGAGGAUGUUAAGGUAGACCAUGGCUAAUGCAUUACCUUCACUUUGAAGAGUAUUCAAAUAGGCUAGAAUCACUUGCCAACUACAUUGAAAUUGAGAGGCGUGGGUUCAAACCCCAGAAGGGGUAACUUUUUUUUUCUUUUUUAACAUCAUUUAUGUAUCUCUCUGGUCCAUUAUUGAAGAAAAAAGGGUUUGAUUUUAAUUAUAUAAUUUUUGUAGGUAUUAAUU